GAAGCGGCAAAAGCUCAAAUUUGAAAUCUGGCGUCUUUGGCGUCCGAGUUGUAAUUUGAAGAAGGUAUCUUUGGGCCCGGCUCUUGUCUAUGUUCCUUGGAACAGGACGUCACAGAGGGUGAGAAUCCCGUGCGAUGAGAUGACCCGGGUCUGUGUAAAGUUCCUUCGACGAGUCGAGUUGUUUGGGAAUGCAGCUCUAAGUGGGUGGUAAAUUCCAUCUAAAGCUAAAUAUUGGCGAGAGACCGAUAGCGAACAAGUACAGUGAUGGAAAGAUGAAAAGAACUUUGAAAAGAGAGUGAAAAAGUACGUGAAAUUGUUGAAAGGGAAGGGCUUGAGAUCAGACUUGGUAUUUUGCAUGCUGCUCUCUCGGGGGCGGCCGCUGCGGUUUACCGGGCCAGCAUCGGUUUGGAGCGGCAGGAUAAUGGCGGAGGAAUGUGGCACGGCUUCUGCUGUGUGUUAUAGCCUCUGACGAUACUGCCAGCCUAGACCGAGGACUGCGGUUUUUACCUAGGAUGUUGGCAUAAUGAUCUUAAGUCGCCCGUCUUGAAA
rnacentral:rRNA from 1 species